GAUGAACGCUGGCGGCGUGCCUAAUACAUGCAAGUCGAACGCUUCACUUCGGUGAAGAGUGGCGAACGGGUGAGUAAUACAUAAGUAACCUGGCAUCUACAGGGGGAUAACUGAUGGAAACGUCAGCUAAGACCGCAUAGGUGUAGAGAUCGCAUGAACUCUAUAUGAAAAGUGCUACGGGACUGGUAGACGAUGGACUUAUGGCGCAUUAGCUGGUUGGUAGGGUAACGGCCUACCAAGGCGACGAUGCGUAGGCGACCUGAGAGGGUGACCGGCCACGCUGGGACUGAGACACGGCGCAGGCUCCGACGGGAGGCAGCAGGAUGGAAUUUUCGGAAAUGGCGGAAACGGUGACCGAGCAACGCCGCGUGGAGGAAGAAGUAAUUCGUUAUGUAAACUUCUGUCAUAGAAGAAGAACGGUGGAUAUAGGGAAUGAUAUCCAAGUGACGGUACUCUAUAAGAAAGCCUCGGCUAACUACGUGCCAGCCGCCGCAGUAA
rnacentral:rRNA from 1 species